rnacentral:rRNA from 1 species
UGGGGAAUAUUGGGCAAUGGAGGCAACUCUGACCCAGCAACGCCGCGUGAGCGAUGAAGGUCUUCGGAUUGUAAAGCUCUUUAAGUGGGGACGAAGAAAGUGACUGUACCCACAGAAUAAGCCUCGGCUAACUACGUGCCAGCAGCCGCGGUAAUACGUAGGAGGCAAGCGUUAUCCGGAAUGACUGGGCGUAAAGGGUGCGUAGGUGGUUUGACAAGUUGGUAGCGUAAUUCCGGGGCUCAACUUCGGAACUACUACCAAAACUGUUGGGCUUGAGUGCAGGAGGGGCAUAUGGAAUUUCUAGUGUAGCGGUGGAAUGCGUAGAUAUUAGGAGGAACACCAGUGGCGAAGGCGAUAUGCUGGACUGUAACUGACACUGAGGCACGAAAGCGUGGGGAGCAAACAGG